rnacentral:rRNA from 1 species
AUGAAUUUCGUUGUGAAACUUUACGCGAUAUACACAAAAUCGUAUACAACUGCAGUUUGUUUUGAAACUUUACGCUAUAUACACAAAAUCAUAUGCAACUACAGAAGUUCCUGUCAAUUGAAAUGUAGAUGUGAUGGUAAAAGGCCACGGAAGAAUGUAGUAUAUUUUAAAUAUUUCCAACUUGAUCACAAAAUGGUAAAACAAAUAUCUUGGGCAGUGGUUAAGACUUCACAAACCUCGACUGCUACAAUAUGUCAAAUUUUCUCAAAGCUAACUUACAUGAGAAUAAAUGUAACCAUCAAUAUUCCAUACGAUUGUUCUCGUUCUUUUGUGCUCUAG